UACGGAGGGUGCAAGCGUUGUUCGGAAUCACUGGGCGUAAAGGGCGUGUAGGCGGUCCGCUAAGUCUGAUGUGAAAGCCCGGGGCUCACCCCCGGAAGGGCAUUGGAAACUGGCGGACUCGAGUCCCGGAGAGGAAGGUGGAAUUCCUGGUGUAGCGGUGAAAUGCGUAGAUAUCAGGAGGAAUACCGGUGGCGAAGGCGGCCUUCUGGACGGUGACUGACGCUGAGGAGCGAAAGCCAGGGGAGCAAACGGG
rnacentral:rRNA from 1 species